CAGCCGUAAACUAUGCUCGCUAGGUGUCAGGCAUGGCGCGACCGUGUCUGGUGCCGCAGGGAAGUCGUGAAGCGAGCCACCUGGGAAGUACGGCCGCAAGGCUGAAACUUAAAGGAGUUGGCGGGGGAGCACAACAACGGGUGGAGCCUGCGGUUUAAUUGGACUCAACGCCGGACAACUCACCGGGGACGACAGCAAUAUGUAGGCCAGGCUGAAGACCUUGCCUGAAUCGCUGAGAGGAGGUGCAUGGCGUAGACGUCU
rnacentral:rRNA from 1 species